ensembl:lncRNA
CAGAAUUACACACUCCCCUCACUGGCCUCUGUGGUUGUCUGAGACAUCGACUGAAGAGUACAACUUAACUUUUCUCCCCGUAUCAAGAUCCGCAGGCCACCGGUGAGCAUUCCACGAGAUCCCUCCUCCACCUCCUCUCAUCCUCUCGUUUUAAAAGUCGCUCCAAAGGGCUGGCAACCCAGACACCGGCCCCAGUGCCAGAGACCGGCUGUCUCGACAGCCUGGCGAAGAACGAUGAAGACGAGGAGGAGGCGGCGAGGGAGAGGAGGCGCAGGGCGCGCCAGGACAGGAUGAAGGGCAGGGACGGGGAGGAGCCCUGUGGACAGACUGACGGCGGGACCAACAGCCACAG